GAAAUGAAUCAUUUAGAAUUGAAGAUCUCAUAUUAUUUAUCCCUUUUCCCCUUUUGGGUCAAUGUCUGACCAUGUAGCACAGGCUGCUGGCCUGGAACCCUGUAUGUGACCAGAUCUCAUUCCAUCCCAAGAUUAAGAACCUGCUGAAGCUAAUACAAACCCUCCACAGUGUGGGCUGGCAAGGAAGACUAUUGUCUCUCUCUUCAUACUGUAACAUGAGCAUUACAGUGACACCCUGGACCCUGGAUCAUUGUAGUGCUGUCUGAGGUCACCCUGUUUAAAGCACUGUCCUCCAGAGCACAUGGAAGGAAGAGAGCAGAGACUGCAGCAUGGGCUUCAGCAUUUCCAGAUUUAGAUCAGUGUGCUCAACUGUGCUGAUAAAUGCAAAUGUGUCCAGCGUGCAAAGAAAACACAGAGCGGAUGCUGUGCCAUCAUUUUCUUCUAUUCCACGCUUAGCCUUAUGCCCAGUAUUUUAGCCUACAGUCCUGAAAACUGCAUUUGCCUGAUCUGACAUCCUAGAUCAACAAUGAUUGCCACACAUGAACUCCACCUUGAUUAAAAUCUGUACAGGACCCAAGGAGUUAAAAAAAUGGACGUCAAAUUCAGCAUCCUAUUAAUAGCUUUAGAAUCACAAGGCAGAAAUAUACUACAAAAAGAGAAGAAAACGUUUCAUGUAAUGCAUCUUUACAGGAUGUUGCAGAAGUGGGUUACACAAAGGAAAUGAAGUUUACCUUUGACGCUCA